rnacentral:misc_RNA from 1 species
AAUGAAGCCGGGAAACCGGUCCUUCUAACCCUUGAUUAUUUUAAUUUGUUGCUUUGGUGGGCCGCGCAAGCACUGGCUUCGGCUGGUUAGUGCUCACCAGAGGACCACAACUCUGUAGUAAAUGUCGUCUGAGUACUAUAAAAUAGUUAAAACUUUCAACAACGGAUCUCUUGGUUCU